rnacentral:rRNA from 1 species
GUCCACGCCCUAAACGAUGUCAAUUAGCUGUUGGGGGUUAGAAUCCUUGGUAGCGUAGCUAACGCGUGAAAUUGACCGCCUGGGGAGUACGGCCGCAAGGUUAAAACUCAAAGGAAUUGACGGGGGCCCGCACAAGCGGUGGAUGAUGUGGAUUAAUUCGAUGCAACGCGAAAACCUUACCUGCUCUUGACAUGUACGGAAUUCUGGAGAGAUUCAGAAGUGCCCGAAAGGGAGCCGUAACACAGGUGCUGCAUGGCUGUCGU